UACGUAGGUGGCAAGCGUUGUCCGGAUUUACUGGGCGUAAAGAGCGCGCAGGCGGUCGUAUAAGUCGAAUGUGAAAGCCCCCGGCUCAACUGGGGAGGGUCAUUCGAUACUGUUCGACUCGAAGGCAGGAGAGGAAGUGGAAUUCCGGGUGUAGUGGUGAAAUGCGAUAGAUAUCCGGAGGAACACCAGUGGCGAAGGCGACUUUCUGGCCUGUUCUUGACGCUGAGGCGCGAAAGCUAGGGGAGCAAACGGGG
rnacentral:rRNA from 1 species